AGUGUUGUUGUUGUUGUCCAGGAUCCUGACCAGGUGAAGUGUUUGUUGUGUCCAGGAUCCUGACCAGGUGAAGUGUUGUUGUUUGUCCAGGAUCCUGACCGGUGAAGUGUUGUUGUUGUCCAGGAUCCUGACCGGUGAAGUGUUGUUGUUGUCCAGGAUCUGACCAGGUGAAGUGUUGUUGUUGUCCAGGAUCCUGACCAGGUGAAGUGUUGUUGUCAGGAUCCUGACCAGGUGAAGUUGUUUUGUGUCAGGAUCCUGACCGGGUGAAGUGUUGUUGUUGUCAGGAUCCAGACCAGUGAGUGUUGUUGUUGUCCAGAUCUUGACCAGGUGAAGUGUUGUGGUGUUUUGAGUCCUAGGGUGUAUGGUAGUAGUACCCAGGUGAAGUUUGUGGUUGUUUUGAUCCUAGGGUGUAUGGUAGUAGUACCCGGUCUUUGUUGCUGGCUGAUUGGCUGUUGAGCUGCUGUGGUCUGAUGGCUUGUUGAGCUGCUGUGUUGUUCCUUUGCUUCAUCUUGCCAUGUUGCAGUCUGAAAGUGUUUUGUCGUCCCGGCUCAGCUCCAGAGGCCAACAUCACUCUGUAGUCUGAAAGUGAUGUUGUUGAUUGUCGUCCCUGCUCAGCUCCAGCACCAGAGCCACCAUCACUCUGUAGUCUGAAGUGAUGUUGUCGUCCCUGCUCAGCUCCAGCCCCAGAGCCAACAUCACUCUGUAGUCUGAAAGUGAUGUUGUUGUCGUCCCUGCUCAACUCCAGCCCCAGAGCCAACAUCACUUGGUAGUCUGAAGUGAUGUGUUGUUUGUCGUCCCUGCUCACUCCAGCCCCAGAGCCAACAUCACUCUGUAGUCUGAAGUGAUGUUGUUGUUGUCGUAUCUGAUCAGCUCCAGCCCAGAGCCAACAUCACUCUGUCUGGGAAGAAGAAACGCAAGCUGCUCAACACAGCUGCAACACAUGAAAGCAGAGAAGGCCGCUAUGGAAGUUGAGGCAGCACCAAAGAAGGCAGCAGCACCAAAGAAGGCAGCAGCACCAAAGGCAGCCAGAYGCCAGAAAGGGGGUGUGUCCCAGGGGGAUGUGGACAUGGCAGAUAUGGAAUGAGAAGAGGAUGACCGACUGUUCUGUUGGCGCCAGACCAGGCUCCAUAUUCAGACCGGGCCCCAAGGCCAGACCAGGCUCCAUAUUCAGACCAGGCUCCAUAUUCAGACCGGGCUCCAUAUUCAGACCGGGCCCCAUAUAUAUGAAUAUGAUUUUAUGGACAGGGGGCUGAUCCUGGAUCAGUUUUAGCCUUUUAGACCUAAUGAAUAUGAUUACAUGGACAGGGGAGGCCUGAUCCUGGAUCAGYUUUAGCCUUUUAGACCUAAUGAAUAUGAUUACAUGGAUGGGGGAGGCCUGAUCCUGGAUCAGUUUUAGCCUUUUUGUCCUAAUGAAUAUGAUUACAUGGAUGGGGGAGGCCUGAUCCUGGAUCAGUUUUAGCCUUUUUGUCCUAAUGAAUAUGAUUACAUGGAUGGGGGAGACCUGAGCCAGAGAGCCUUGUUUGUGUAUCUGAAUGCCGUCAUUGUAAAUAAGAAUUUGUUCUUAACUGACUUGCCUAGUUUAAAUAAAAUAAAAAACAGACCGAAUGGGGAAUUGUUUUUUUCCUCCCAACUACAAAGGAGGAAUGAAUGUGGAAUCUGAUCUGGAGUCAGUGGCCUUGGUGGAAGUUAUGUCUGCAUCCCAAAUGGCUCCCUGUUCCCUGAGGCCCGUUGGACUCUUGUCAAAARUAGUGAAUUGUAUUGGGGAUAGAUACCAUAUGGGAUCGAACCCAAUGACGACAGCCUCCCGUCAU
ensembl:lncRNA